GAUGAACGCUGGCGGCGUGCUUAACACAUGCAAGUCGAACGAAGCAUUUAAGACAGAUUACUUCGGUUUGAAGUCUUUUAUGACUGAGUGGCGGACGGGUGAGUAACGCGUGGGUAACCUGCCUCAUACAGGGGGGAUAGCAGCUGGAAACGGCUGGUAAUACCGCAUAAGCGCACGGUAUCGCAUGAUACAGUGUGAAAAACUCCGGUGGUGUGAGAUGGACCCGCGUCUGAUUAGCUAGUUGGCAGGGUAACGGCCUACCAAGGCGACGAUCAGUAGCCGACCUGAGAGGGUGACCGGCCACAUUGGGACUGAGACACGGCCCAAACUCCUACGGGAGGCAGCAGUGGGGAAUAUUGCACAAUGGGGGGAAAACCCCUGGAAUGCAGCGACGCCGCGUGAGCGAAGAAGUAUUUC
rnacentral:rRNA from 1 species